rnacentral:lncRNA from 1 species
CUACUCAUGCAUUCAUUUGCCUUGUAAUUAACUACCAUUACAUGCAUCAAUGAUGAAACACACUACACUUUGGCAUGGAAGUGACCUAAUCGCUUCGGUGAGCACAACCCACCUCGUAACUGUCACGCCCCGGGACCGGCGGAGGCCCUCCCGGUAGCGUGCCCAGACCCGCCAUAUGUCUACACAUAUAAGGCGUCUACAAUAAAAGCGGAAGAAAAGCAAGAAAUAGAACAAAUAAAAGAAGUGAAAUAACCAGCAACUAAUGAUAUCAGAGCGAGUAAAGUUCUAUCAUCUACACCAAAGUAAACAGAUAAGGAUAGACAAUAAAGAAAAACAUAAGUAGUACAAUAUCUGUCUCUAGUACAAAAAUGGUGGUCUCUAUACAUAUACGGGUACAACUCUCAACCUCUCACAAAAAGAUAACACGAGAGGUAGACCACCUAUCGAACGAUCCCUCGGUAAGCACGCUAGCCCGAGGCGAUACCCUUUCCGCGAUCCCUGGCCUCUCCCUGAGUGGAAGGCUCUGAAAAACAUCGAGAAAAAGAGGGCGUGAGAACUAUAAUUUAUAGUUCCCAGUGGGCAAUUACUGACCUCAGCUCUUGCUCCACUAGGCCCCAAAAACAAGGGUAAGUAACGAUAAUAAUAAAAGCAAUAAGGAGCAUAUACAUAAACUGCUGAAAGAAAGCAUAAAUGAAAUGCUAGUCUACUGUGUCUCAAAUAAGCAUGAUGUCAACCAAAAUGUACAUCUAUUCUAUCAUUACAAUUAAGUCCAAUCACACUAGUUUAAUGUUGUUAACCUUUGUCAAUACAUAAUGUUGUAGUUCUAAUAUGGCAACCACGUAUACUACAUGUCUCACACUAUGCUAAAAGCAUGUAAUGUAACCCAACUACUAAGUCUAUCUAGUAGUGAUCAUUCAUCCUCAACCCCGUGUCGAUUUCCAUUUCCAAUUAGGGACUUACCCAAGGUAGUCCAGCUUGUGCCGCCUAAGUGCCUGUGGUAGCCCGACAUUCCUACUCUUGGAAUGUGUCUGUCCCACUCGGCCCCGUAGGCUUCUCGAUACCGCACGAGCGAACAUAAGUCGCGUAGGCUAACUCCGGAGUGCCGGCUUGUAGGGAGCGACCCUCACAAGCAUGUGCGAAUGAGCACAAAUGGCAAGCAAGCAUAGUCCAAGUCUCAAAUAUCCAAUCCUCAUGUCUCUAACAUGGUAUCAUAACUAGCAUCCCGAAGAUCUAGUCUAAGUCACAAUGUGAAGUUUCAACAGUUGCUACGCCUAGUGCCCCUUGAUGACACUUAGGCAAUUUGAUGUUCAACACGUUUUCCAAAUCCCUCAAUGGCCCUAUCCACUAGGUUCUCACAAGUCCUGAGCUCAAUGCCGCUUGAUGACAUUAGCUCUCCAAUUCACAUGAUAUCAAGUUCGAUGCCUACAAUUGUAGCAAUUGUCAUCUUUCAUGUCCCAAUUAAACUUAUGUUUAAACGCAUGAAUCAUAGCUCAUUUACUCUCUAGAAUCAUGAAAUCAAACCUCAUAUAGAAUGCUAAAUGCAACCAAAGAUCUCUCAAGCAACUCUCUACUACAUAGAGGUCCAAAAAUUCAUCAUAUAUAACUUAUGCAUUUUAAGCAUUCUAAAACUCAUAAUAAAUGUAUUUAAUAUGAAAAUGCAUGAAUUAUUAGUAAACCAAGCACUUAUCACCAAAUAUGAGAUUUUCUCAUAUUAUAGGCUAGGUCAAACCCACCGACGACAACGAAGCUUUUCGAUCCGCCGAACGAAGGUUUCGGCAAGCUCCCUAGUACCCUAAGAGCAUCAAUAACGGGGUUACCCAAACGAAACGAAGAGCGAAAAGCUCAAACAUUAAGCAUCUAGCAAAAAGGGCAAAACUCACCUCAAGAGCAAAAAUCCUCUCUUAAGCUCCAAAUGAGGGCUAGAAUCCUUCUAAUCCAAGCCUUAGGAGGGUUCUAAACCAACUAAUUGAGCUUCAAAAGCCCUAAAACGAAAAU